GAUGAACGCUAGCGGCAGGCGUAAUACAUGCAAGUCGUGGGGCAGCAGGGGCGUAGCAAUACGCUCGCUGGCGACCGGCAAACGGGUGCGGAACACGUACACAACCUUCCUUUAAGUGGGGAAUAGCCCGGGGAAACCCGGAUUAAUACCCCGUAACAUAAUGAAGUGGCAUCGCUUUAUUAUUAUAGCUCCGGCGCUUGAAGAUGGUUGUGCGACUGAUUAGGCAGUUGGCGGGGUAACGGCCCACCAAACCUACGAUAAGUAACUGGUGUGAGACAACGACAAGUCAACCGGGCACUGAGACACGCGCCCGACUCCUACGGGGGGCAGCAGUAAGGAAUAUUGGUCAAUGGACCCAAGUCUGCCCCCGCCAUGCCGCGUGGAGGAUGAAGGUCCUCUGGAUUGUAAACUUCUUUUAUCUGGGAAGAAAUCCAUGAAUUCUUUUCUGGUUGACGGUACCAGAUGAAUAAGCACCGGCUAACUCCGUGCCAGCCGCCGCCGUAA
rnacentral:rRNA from 1 species